GAUGAACGCUGGCGGCGUGCCUAAUACAUGCAAGUCGAGCGAACAGACGAGGAGCUUGCUCCUCUGACGUUAGCGGCGGACGGGUGAGUAACACGUGGAUAACCUACCUAUAAGACUGGGAUAACUUCGGGAAACCGGAGCUAAUACCGGAUAAUAUAUUGAACCGCAUGGUUCAAUAGUGAAAGACGGUUUUGCUGUCACUUAUAGAUGGAUCCGCGCCGCAUUAGCUAGUUGGUAAGGUAACGGCUUACCAAGGCAACGAUGCGUAGCCGACCUGAGAGGGUGAUCGGCCACACUGGAACUGAGACACGGUCCAGACUCCUACGGGAGGCAGCAGUAGGGAAUCUUCCGCAAAGGGCGAAAGCCUGACGGAGCAACGCCGCGUGAGUGAUGACGGUCUUCGGAUCGUAAAACUCUGUUAUUAGGGAAGAACAAAUGUGUAAGUAACUAUGCACGUCUUGACGGUACCUAAUCAGAAAGCCACGGCUAACUACGUG
rnacentral:rRNA from 1 species